rnacentral:tRNA from 1 species
GGGAUUGUAGUUCAAUUGGUUAGAGUACCGCCCUGUCAAGACGGAAGUUGCGGGUUC